GGGCUCGUGGUCUAGCGGUUAUGAUAGAUCCUUGACGUGGAUCUGGUCGCAGGUUCAAAUCCUGCCGGGCCCA
rnacentral:tRNA from 1 species